AUUGAACGCUGGCGGCAGGCUUAACACAUGCAAGUCGAGCGGAGAUGAGGUGCUUGCACCUUAUCUUAGCGGCGGACGGGUGAGUAAUGCUUAGGAAUCUGCCAUUUAGUGGGGGACAACAUUCCGAAAGGAAUGCUAAUACCGCAUACGUCCUACGGGAGAAAGCAGGGGAUCUUCGGACCUUGCGCUAAAUGAUGAGCCUAAGUCGGAUUAGCUAGUUGGUGGGGUAAAGGCCUACCAAGGCGACGAUCUGUAGCGGGUCUGAGAGGAUGAUCCGCCACACUGGGACUGAGACACGGCCCAGACUCCUACGGGAGGCAGCAGUGGGGAAUAUUGGACAAUGGGCGGAAGCCUGAUCCAGCCAUGCCGCGUGUGUGAAGAAGGCCUUUUGGUUGUAAAGCACUUUAAGCGAGGAGGAGGCUACUAGUACUAAUACUACUGGAUAGUGGACGUUACUCGCAGAAUAAGCACCGGCUAACUCUGUGCCAGCCGCCGCAGUAAAAC
rnacentral:rRNA from 1 species